CACGGAGUUAGCCGGGGCUUAUUCUCCCGGUACUGUCAUUAUCAUCCCGGGUAAAAGAGCUUUACAACCCUAAGGCCCUCAUCACUCACGCGGCAUUGCUGGAUCAGGCUUUCGCCCAUUGUCCAAUAUUCCCCACUGCUGCCUCCCGUAGGAGUCUGGGCCGUGUCUCAGUCCCAGUGUGGCUGAUCAUCCUCUCAGACCAGCUAAGGAUCGUCGCCUUGGUGAGCUCUUACCUCACCAACAAGCUAAUCCUACGCGGGCUCAUCCCUGGGCGAUAAAUCUUUGAUCCGAAGAUAUCAUUCGGUAUUAGCAGUCGUUUCCAACUGUUAUCCCGAACCCAAGGGCAGAUUCCCACGCGUUACGCACCCGUGCGCCACUAGACCCGGAGGUCUCGUUCGACUUGCAUGUGUUAGGCAUGCCGCCAGCGUUCGUUCUGAGCCAGGAUCAAACUCU
rnacentral:rRNA from 1 species